UCCCUGGUGGCUCAGUGGUAAAAAAUCUGCCCGCCAAGCUGGAGACCCAGGUUCCAUUCCUGGCUUGGGAU
rnacentral:tRNA from 1 species